GUGGGGAAUCUUGCGCAAUGGGCGAAAGCCUGACGCAGCCAUGCCGCGUGAAUGAUGAAGGUCUUAGGAUUGUAAAAUUCUUUCACCGGGGACGAUAAUGACGGUACCCGGAGAAGAAGCUCCGGCUAACUUCGUGCCAGCAGCCGCGGUAAUACGAAGGGGGCUAGCGUUGCUCGGAAUUACUGGGCGUAAAGGGCGCGUAGGCGGACAGCUUAGUCAGAGGUGAAAGCACAGGGCUCAACCUUGGAAUUGCCUUUGAUACUGGCUGUCUUGAGUGUGGGAGAGGUGAGUGGAACUCCGAGUGUAGAGGUGAAAUUCGUAGAUAUUCGGAAGAACACCAGUGGCGAAGGCGACUCACUGGCCCAAUACUGACGCUGAGGCGCGAAAGCGUGGGGAGCAAACAGGAUUAGAUACCCUGGUAGUCC
rnacentral:rRNA from 1 species